GCUCUGUAUAUAGCUAUGAAGAAAACACAAAGUGUAUAAAUCUGAGUAUAUAUUUACAUGUCUUUUUAAAAGGGUCGUUACCAGAGAUUUACCCAUCGGGUAAGAUGCUCCUGGUGGCUGGGAGGCAUCAGUUGCUAUAUAUUAAAAACAAAAAAGAAAAAAAAGGAAAAUGUUUUUAAAAAGGUCAUAUAUUUUUUGCUACUUUUGCUGUUUUAUUUUUUUAAAUUAUGUUCUAAACCUAUUUUCAGUUUAGGUCCCUCAAUAAAAAUUGCUGCUGCUUCAUUUAUCUAUGGGCUGUAUGAAAAGGGUGGGAAUGUCCACUGGAAAGAAGGGACACCCACGGGCCCUGGGGCUAGGUCUGUCCCGAGGGCACCGCAUGCUCCCGGCGCAGGUUCCUUGUAACCUCUUCUUCCUAGGUCCUGCACCCAGACCUCACGACGCACCUCCUGCCUCUCCGCUGCUUUUGGAAAGUCAGAAAAAGAAGAUGUCUGCUUCGAGGGCAGGAACCCCAUCCAUGCAGUAGAGGCGCUGGGCAGAGAGUCAAGGCCCAGCAGCCAUCGACCAUGGAUGGUUUCCUCCAAGGAAACCGGUGGGGUUGGGCUGGGGAGGGGGCACCUACCUAGGAAUAGCCACGGGGUAGAGCUACAGUGAUUAAGAGGAAAGCAAGGGCGCGGUUGCUCACGCCUGUAAUCCCAGCACUUUGGGACACCGAGGUGGGCAGAUCACUUCAGGUCAGGAGUUUGAGACCAGCCUGGCCAACUUAGUGAAACCCCAUCUCUACUAAAAAUGCAAAAAUUAUCCAGGCAUGGUGGCACACGCCUGUAAUCCCAGCUCCACAGGAGGCUGAGGCAGAAUCCCUUGAAGCUGGGAGGCGGAGGUUGCAGUGAGCCGAGAUUGCGCCAUUGCACUCCAGCCUGGGCAACAGAGAAAACAAAAAGGAAAACAAAUGAUGAAGGUCUGCAGAAACUGAAACCCAGACAUGUGUCUGCCCCCUCUAUGUGGGCAUGGUUUUGCCAGUGCUUCUAAGUGCAGGAGAACAUGUCACCUGAGGCUAGUUUUGCAUUCAGGUCCCUGGCUUCGUUUCUUGUUGGUAUGCCUCCCCAGAUCGUCCUUCCUGUAUCCAUGUGACCAGACUGUAUUUGUUGGGACUGUCGCAGAUCUUGGCUUCUUACAGUUCUUCCUGUCCAAACUCCAUCCUGUCCCUCAGGAACGGGGGGAAAAUUCUCCGAAUGUUUUUGGUUUUUUGGCUGCUUGGAAUUUACUUCUGCCACCUGCUGGUCAUCACUGUCCUCACUAAGUGGAUUCUGGCUCCCCCGUACCUCAUGGCUCAAACUACCACUCCUCAGUCGCUAUAUUAAAGCUUAUAUUUUGCUGGAUUACUGCUAAAUACAAAAGAAAGUUCAAUAUGUUUUCAUUUCUGUAGGGAAAAUGGGAUUGCUGCUUUAAAUUUCUGAGCUAGGGAUUUUUUGGCAGCUGCAGUGUUGGCGACUAUUGUAAAAUUCUCUUUGUUUCUCUCUGUAAAUAGCACCUGCUAACAUUACAAUUUGUAUUUAUGUUUAAAGAAGGCAUCAUUUGGUGAACAGAACUAGGAAAUGAAUUUUUAGCUCUUAAAAGCAUUUGCUUUGAGACCGCACAGGAGUGUCUUUCCUUGUAAAACAGUGAUGAUAAUUUCUGCCUUGGCCCUACCUUGAAGCAAUGUUGUGUGAAGGGAUGAAGAAUCUAAAAGUCUUCAUAAGUCCUUGGGAGAGGUGCUAGAAAAAUAUAAGGCACUAUCAUAAUUACAGUGAUGUCCUUGCUGUUACUACUCAAAUCACCCACAAAUUUCCCCAAAGACUGCGCUAGCUGUCAAAUAAAAGACAGUGAAAUUGACCUGAGAGAAAAUGAAAUGGCCGUUUUACUUAGAGGACCAAAUUGGGUCUCCUGAGGAAAGGAAUCCAGUUUAUCUAAUGAAGAUGUUGUGCCAUGAAGGCACUGAGUCUGUCUGGUUUCCUGAGGGUUAAAAGAUUAGGGCUGGGAUCACCACAGCAUUAAUCAAUACUGCCUUUCCGUCUCUUCUAAUUGCCAUAGGCUGGAGAUCAUCGGUCCCUUGGCCCUGCUAAUGUAAUGUAUUGAUCUCAGAUGAAGGAGGCCAAGAGGCAAGGAAUACAGGUGGCCACUAGAUGCUGAGAGUAGCCCGGGGCUCACAGCCAGCUGGGAAACAAAGACCUCAGUCCGACAGCUGCAAGGAACUAAGUUCAGCCAACAAACUGAAUGAACUUGGAAGCAGGUCGUUUCCCACAGCCUCCAAAGGAGCACAGCGUGCACUUCUGACCUACCAACUGUCCUAACUGCUUUAGAUGAGUCCCAGCUAAGACAUCCAAAUUACUAACUGCUUAUGAUGGCCUUCUCAAGAAAUGGGCUAUUUGAAAGAGACAUCAAAGCAUUUAUGGGACUCUGUCUGACAUCUGGAAAUCGGCUUCGUGGUAUAAAGAAAAGAUAUCCAUCUGAAGUCAAACUACAUCAGCUGAAAAAUCAGGAGUUUGGAAGUUUGACUCUAAAUCUACUGUUCUCUCCAAGAAGUUAUCAAUGUCUUCAAAACGUUGAUUACUUUAAGACAGGCUUUUCUGCAAACUACUAUCAAUGUUUAUAAUAUUAAAUGUUUACAAUAUUAUAUGUUCAUAAUUUAGAUAUUUGCAAUUCCAAAGAUGGUGAACAAUUUGGGAAAUCCAUGAUGACAUGCGUUUUUCAUAGAACGCCCAGCCCCGAAGUUGUUCGGCAUUACAUAAAAGAUGGACACCUGCUUCACGUAGGAUGAGAGCUGUGUAGAGGCAUCGCCCAUCUUGGCUCUGUUCCUCCUUGCCAUUUCUGUCAUGGUUUCUUGAAGAAAUUUUGCUAGUUCCAACUUUACAGCCAUUUUCUUUUUCUGUUUUUCUUCCUUAAUGGUAGAAGAAUAAAAGUUACUCAAUCCUUCGUGAUUGUAAAUUGGUAGAUAAAGAUGGGAGAAAAAUAACUGUCUCCUUGUUAUUGCUCAUCCCUACAUCAUGUAAUAACGUGAUUCUCAGGCAUAGAUGAAUGGGUUUGUGAGACCAGAGCAAGUAAAAAGAAGCCUCUAUUUGGAA